GAAUCCGUUGGAGAAUGUUUCAAGAUGUAGAAGCCUUACAUGUGAAGUAUCCCAAAUGAAGAUGGAACAUCUGUGUUGACAUUGCUUUGUGUUGUGGACUUGAAGACUGCCACUGCAAAGCUGCAUCAUGAGCUGCCUGGGCUUCUAAAGUGUCCAAUGGAUUUUUAAUCAUAUAAGCCUUGAAACUGGGUUAUGAAAAGAGGCUUGGAGCAGAACACUGAAAGUGGCCACCACCAGCAUGAGGACACCAACGAGUCAAACUGGUGAGAUGAGCAAAACAGAAGGCAGCUUUCAAGGUUGGUACUUUUCAUGAUAUUUUAAAACCUCUUGUUAAUAUGAAGCAGAGUAUGAAAGAAGCAGAGGAAAAUAUGUCGUUAGCUUUUCACAGAUAGCGAUUAGAGGAUGUUAUGUUUUUAUUCUCCUCACUCAUGGAUGGAAAAGUACAACAUAGAUUGUUACAAAAUGCAAUACAGCAAUCAAAUAUAAUAUCUGAUUCAAUGCUUGGCAAAAUUGUGGAAUUGGAAAUACUCAAUAUUUUCCCACUUCAUCCAUUUGUCAUUCCAUCCAUCCAACACUCACUCAUAUAUUUGUUUUCAGUGGAUAUUUAUUACAUGUAUAUUGUGCGCAAGGCUCUGUCAUCUGAUUUUCCUUUAUUCAUACCUCAUUUGGCUGACCUUCC